UUCCCAAACAAUCACCGAAGUUAAGCAAUGUCGAGCCUAGUCAGUACCUAGAUGGGUAACAGCUUGGGAAUACCAGGUGCUGUAAG